rnacentral:RNase_P_RNA from 1 species
GAGGUGGGACGUUCCGUCGCGGCACUUGUGCUGAGGAAAGUCCGGACAGGGUAGGGCACCCCGCUGCGGAAAGCGCAGAAGGGAGUAAUCUUUUGGCCGCCGUAGCAGAAAACUACCGCCCGCAAGGGUAAGGGUGAAAACGCGAGGCAAGAGCUCACGACGCUGUGCAGCGAUGUAUGGCGGGUACGGCACCGGGGCCUGCAAGACCAAAUAUACUGACAGAUGAGAGCGGCCCGCACGAUGUCAGGGGGUAGGUUGCGAAGAUAAAUGACGGAAUCAAAAACAGAAACCGGCUUACGGCCCCACCUUAUUU